UACAGAGGUCCCAAGCGUUGUUCGGAUUCACUGGGCGUAAAGGGUGCGUAGGUGGUGAGGUAAGUCGGAUGUGAAAGCUCGGAGCUCAACUCCGAAAUGGCAUUGGAAACUACCUUGCUCGAGGGUUGGAGGGGGGACUGGAAUUCUUGGUGUAGCAGUGAAAUGCGUAGAUAUCAAGAGGAACACCAGUGGCGAAGGCGAGUCCCUGGACAACUUCUGACGCUGAGGCACGAAAGCUAGGGGAGCAAACAGG
rnacentral:rRNA from 1 species